ACCCCGAUGGGCCAUGGCUCCUGGAAUGGGCUAUGGCUGAAAUCUACAUGGCCCCAGGAUGGGACUGCGGCCGAUCAGGUUGUUGGUGGGGUAAUGGCCCACCAAGCCUAUAACCGGUGCGGGCUCUGAGAGGAGGAGCCCGGAGAUGGGCACUGGGACAAGGGCCCAGGUCCUAUGGGGCGCAGCAGGCGCGAAACCUCCGCAAUGGGUGAAAGCCCGACGGGGUCAGUCCGAGUGGUUCCCGCUGAGGGAACCUUUUGCCAGCUGUAAACAGGCUGGCGAAUAAGGGGUGGGCAAGUUUGGUGUCAGCCGCCGCGGUAAUACCAGCACCCCGAGUGGUCGGGACGAUUAUUGGGCCUAAAGCAUCCGUAGCCGGCCCAGUAAGUCCUCCGUUAAAUCCAACGGCUCAACCGUUGGGCUGCGGGGGAUACUGCUGGGCUAGGGGACGGGAGAGGCGAGGGGUAUUCCCGGGGUAGGGGUAAAAUCCACUGAUCCCGGGAGGACCACCAGUGGCGAAGGCGCCUCGCUAGAACGUGCCCGACGGUGAGGGAUGAAAGCUGGGGGAGCGAACCGGAUUAGAUACCCGGGUAGUCCCAGCCGUAAACGAUGUAGGCUCGGGUGUUGGGCUGCCUCAGUGGCAGCCCAGUGCCGCAGGGAAGCCGUUAAGCCUACCGCCUGGGGAGUACGGCCGCAAGGCUGAAACUUAAAGGAAUUGGCGGGGGAGCACCACAAGGGGUGAAGCCUGCGGUUUAAUUG
rnacentral:rRNA from 1 species